rnacentral:rRNA from 1 species
UACGGGGGGGGCAAGCGUUGUUCGGAAUUACUGGGCGUAAAGGGCUCGUAGGCGGCCAACUAAGUCGGACGUGAAAUCCCUCGGCUUAACCGGGGAACUGCGUCCGAUACUGGAUGGCUUGAGUUCGGGAGAGGGAUGCGGAAUUCCAGGUGUAGCGGUGAAAUGCGUAGAUAUCUGGAGGAACACCGGUGGCGAAGGCGGCAUCCUGGACCGACACUGACGCUGAGGCGCGAAAGCCAGGGGAGCAAACGGG